rnacentral:snRNA from 1 species
GGAUGUGAGGGUAAUCUGGCUGCGACAUCUGUCACCCCAUUGACCAUCAAGGUUGAUUCAGCUGAGCUGCCUGGCCAGGUGGGUGUCCCCUUCCUCCCUCACUGCUUCAUAUGGGUCCCUACUGAAGCUUUGCCCAUGGUCAAAGACAACAACCUUCCCCAAAUAAAGAAGGACUGGUCUUUGGUCAAGUGUAUACGGGUAGCUGUGCUCCCCUGUUAGAACCUCCAAACAAGCUCUGAAGAAGCAGAAUGAGGAGCCUGGAAAUGGCUCACCAAAUAAAGCACAUGGUUCACCAUGCACAAAGGCCUGGGUUCAAC